UUGGCGAACGGGUGAGUAACGCGUGAGUAACCUGCCCUGGAGUGGGGGACAACAGUUGGAAACGACUGCUAAUACCGCAUAAGCCCACGGCCCGGCAUCGGGCUGCGGGAAAAGGAUUUAUUCGCUUCAGGAUGGACUCGCGUCCAAUUAGCUAGUUGGUGAGGUAACGGCCCACCAAGGCGACGAUUGGUAGCCGGACUGAGAGGUUGAACGGCCACAUUGGGACUGAGACACGGCCCAG
rnacentral:rRNA from 1 species